rnacentral:misc_RNA from 1 species
AAAAUAUUGACUAGAAUAGAGUGGCCACAAACGUUUAACAUUUGCUGUACUCAUAGAGAAUCUCCAGCCAAAUGAAGCACAUUUACAUUUCUGAACAGAAAACCCUCUAGAAAAAACAAAAAAGGAACACAAGUGAACUGUGGCCUGCAAUAAAACUAGCCACAAACUGUAUGUAUUGAUAUAUUAUAUAAGAUUGUUUCUCCAUAUGUCCUAACUAGCAUGGUGAAUAAGUAACUUGAAGAUUCA